CUCUCCAAACCAUGUUUCAAGCACAUUUUUUCUUCCUGUCAGCUUUCUUCACUGUCCAGCUUUCACACCCACACACUGUGAUUGAAAAUACAAUAGUCUGAAUUAGCUUGACCCUCGUCUCCAGUAAAAUAUCCUUACAUUUAAUAUUUUCUAGGCUACCCUUCCAAAUCUGUCAUCUUCAAAUUUAUUGGAUGCAGUCUCCUUUCAGAUUGAUGACUGAGCCAGAGAAUCCAUCUUGAAUGCUGGGCACUUCUCACUCCAGAAAAGGAAUGGUUCUCCACCAGAUUACUUCUGCUAUUCAAGAUGAGCUGCACAGCUUUCCAUCAUGGGCCUGCAAGCACACCCAUGGUAAUCAAGUCUACAUGGUGGUGCAUACAUGUGCUCAUGAAACUGUUCAUGAAACAAUUCAUGAUACUACCCUGGCAUGCAUGGUGAGAAACACAGAGAUAGAGCAAUCGAGUCCUGUCCAAUGAAUACUAUGCUGCACUCCCUCUCAAGUUGCAGCUAGGUUGCAGCAAAAGAAGGGAGCAGAGUCCAAUUUGCUCAGCAGCUCCGCAGAUACGAACGUGAGCUCCUGACGGCUUUUGUGCAGGCGAAGCACCACCACAGUGCCCCAGACCCACCAUGCAGCAGUAGUGGCCUGCAGGCUGAGGAACGCGGGCAGCCAUUAAGCUCACUGGCUGUCUUUGGUCCAGGCAAAGACUCUCAGCACAGCACAGCAUACAAGGUGGUUGAGAGGAUAAAAUGAAGAGGACGAUUAUGUGCACAAUGCCUUGGGCUCCUUGGAGGAUGGGCGGGAAAUAAACUGACAAACAAGCAUUGCGCAUGUUGACUGGGUGGGGGUUUUCCAGAGGCUUUCCCAGCUAAAAGGAAUAAAGCUGAAAACUCCUGUGGGCAGAGCAUGUGCUCAGACACUGGGCUACAGUUUCUCCUCACCCAGUAACAGCAGACUUAAUAUUCAGCCUGCAAUGGCUGCUGCAGGAACAAUCAUAAAACAAUUAAACAUGUCAGUAUUGCUACUGAAGCUCUUUGCAAUAGCUAUUACCUAAGAGGAUGUUAUUCCCUGGGUAGGAUUACAUUAUAAAGCCUUAAGCAAAAUUAUAAGGAGAAUUUUCAAAUUGAGAGACAAAUGGAAUCCUUAGUUUUGGAAUGAAUCUUUGAAUCCAAUCUAACCAGACACUAUGCUCAGUUUCUGGGGCCUUCCUUUGGAUGCCAACUCCUCAGAGGGUGGCAACUAGGAGGAGGGUUUUUUUGGUGGUGAAUCCCCAUCUUUCAAAUAAUCUCCAUGCAUCCUCCAUGCCGCAGCUCUCCUGGUGCCAAAUUUGCCAUAUUUUCUGUGCAAGGUUAAGACAGCCCUCUUUGCAGAGGCCUUUAAAGACUUCCCUGGUCAUUCGGGGACCUGAUACAAUUACCUACAAAAUGCCAGCAUUCUGCCAGUAGCUGAGCUUAGUGGAAGCAUUUCAACCUUUUAGAAUGGGGGAAAACUGCACAAAAGCCAGAAAACCACCAAGCAACCACUGCCUAGGAGAAAGGGAUUGGGGCCAGGUGGAAGAAGUGUGGCCAUCUGGAAAACCUCAGGGGAUUGGAUUUGGCUUACAGACCUGAACUUCCCUGCUCUGGGGUAUAGCACAGCAUAUUUUCAAGUUGAUUCCUUAAUAAAAUUACUGAAAAGUCAUUAAUGAAAGUCCAAGGCAGAGAAGCCCACAUUUUAAACAAUUAUACAUGAUUACGGGAAGAUUCUAAACAAACUGUAAUGAAAUCCUAUCCAUUGCUGAGUGUUCGAAUCUAUUAAUCUAUUAAUUUUGUGAGCUUCUGCCUAAGUUCUUCACAGUACCACUGCAGUCUCAUCUUGCUGCUUAAUUCU